UGACUAGGGAUCAGCCCACACCCCCUGCAUGGGAGCAUGAAGUCUUAGCCACCAGACCACCAGGGAAGUCCCCAGACGUUUCCUUUAAAGAUCUGUCAGAGGACUUGCCUGCAUUGGCUAGCAGAUGGCUAAUUCAUCUGCGCUGCGGUGAACUGUUGAAAAAUCUGACAUGGUCUUGAGGGAGGGAGGGAUUCUUCCUUAACAGUUUAUUUAACAAGACUACUGACAUGUGAACCAGCCUUCAAACUCAGCAAGAUCCCAGUAAAGCCCACAGCAAGACUGCUGCUCCUCAGUUGCCUUUCACUUCAUGCAUGGAAUACUGGAGAGCCAGAGGAGCAGGCAGGAUGUGCCGGAGAGACGUUGGAACUCCAAGUAGCGGGGGACCAGGGAAGGAGGAUACAGCCNUUGUGUGGAGGGCUGGCUUCCUCAGCCGUUCCCUCCAGGACAACCGUGAGUUCCUCCACAAAGGCAGAUUGAAGCCUGAAGCUAAAAGCUUAAGCUCUUGGGCACCUCGUUAGCUAGAGCCCCUUCUAAAGUCCUCAGGGGCAUGGGAGCGGUUGAUCACACGGUACAACAGGUGCCUCUGGUGCCCUGUGUCCCAUCCCCUUUGGCAGCCUCUAAUUUCUGUCCAAGCUGAGUUCCCUGAAAAUACAAUUACCAAUGAGCAAUGCCCUGAAAACAGAGGCUCUCCGUCUGCAGGCUCUGAAUGGCUCAAUUCUGCUUCUUCAAUAAAUCUGAGAAGUGGAGGUGAAAUGGGUAUUAAUAAUCUGGAGACAUCAUCAUUCAAAGAGAGAUAGGAACCGUUGUAUAAGUGUUUCAGCCUUUCCUGCAAUAGGAACAUUAUGUACGAUCAAGGUGUGCCCUUGAUUAUGCACGUUGAUAUUGAUAAAGCUACCAUACUUCUGGGAACAUUUUCCAAAUCAGUGCCUGUGUGAAAUAGACCUUUGUCUUCGGGCUUCUCUGCUGGUCCAGUGGGGAAGACUCAGCCCUUCCACUACACAGGGUGUGGGUUCCAUCCCUGGUUGAAGAAGUAAUAUUCUACAUGCUUCAUAGGGUGGCCAAAAUAAUAAUAGGCCUUUGUCGUUAGCUGUGCUUUGAACUAAACCCAACUGGAAGUGGCUCUGGGAAGUCAACCCUUAGAACAGGAUUCUGGAACUAGACAACCUUUCAUCAUUCAGCAACAAGUACCCUACUUGUCACUCUGGUUAGGGGAGGGCGUAGCUCCUGAGGUGCCCUAACACUGGGAUCACUAAGAUUACCUGUUGUGAAUUGAGAUAAGGUACAGGUGGAAGGGGGAAUAAUAGGCCAGGCGAUAGAACUGGAAUGAAAUGUGAGUAAGGUUAAUUUUAAGGACUGUAAUUUUUAAGCUGGCUGUGUUUGCUAAGUUCCCAGAAAUAGAAUGAAA